rnacentral:rRNA from 1 species
UGCCCAUAAGAGGGGGAUAACAUCCGGAAACGGGUGCUAAUACCGCAUAGUUUUCUUGAUCGCAUGAUCGGGAAAGGAAAGACGGCCUUUGUGCUGUCGCUUAUGGAUGGACCCGCGGCGUAUUAGUUAGUUGGUGAGGUAACGGCUCACCAAGACGAUGAUACGUAGCCGACCUGAGAGGGUGAUCGGCCACAUUGGGACUGAGACACGGCCCAAACUCCUACGGGAGGCAGCAGUAGGGAAUCUUCCGCAAUGGACGAAAGUCUGACGGAGCAACGCCGCGUGAGUGAAAAGAAGGUUUUCGGAUCGUAAAACUCUGUUGUCAGAGAAGAACAAGUUGGAGAGUAACUGCUCCAGCCUUGACGGUAUCUGACCAGAAAGCCACGGCUAACUACGUGCCAGCCGCCGC